rnacentral:rRNA from 1 species
CAGUAGCCACGGGAAUACGGAGGGCGCGAGCGUUACCCGGAUUUACUGGGCGUAAAGGGCGUGUAGGCGGCCUGGGGCGUCCCAUGUGAAAGGCCACGGCUCAACCGUGGAGGAGCGUGGGAUACGCUCAGGCUAGAGGGUGGGAGAGGGUGGUGGAAUUCCCGGAGUAGCGGUGAAAUGCGCAGAUACCGGGAGGAACGCCGAUGGCGAAGGCAGCCACCUGGUCCACUUCUGACGCUGAGGCGCGAAAGCGUGGGGAGCAAACCGGAUUAGAUACCCCCGUAGUCCCUGUCUCUUAUAA